AAGAGGUGAGGGGUUUAAGGUAGAGUUUAGACGUCACGAGUUUAAAGGUAAGGGGUUUAGAGGUGAGGGGUUUAAGGUAGAGUUUAGACGCAAGGGGUUUAAGGUAGAGUUUAGACGUCAUGAGUUUAGAGGUAAGGGGUUCAGAGGCGAGGGGUUUAAGGUAGAGUUUAGACGUUAUGAGUUUAGAUGUAAGGGGUUCAGAGGCGAGGAGUUUAAGGUAGAGUUUAGACGUUAUGAGUUUAGAGGCGAGGGGUUCAGAGGC